ACUCCUACGGGAGGCAGCAGUGGGAAUAUUGCACAAUGGGGAAAGCCCUCGAUGCAGCCAUGCCGCGUGUGUGAAGAAGGCCUUCGGGUUGUAAAGCACUUUCAGUAGGGAGGAAGGUAGUGUAGUUAAUAGCUGCAUUAUUUUGACGUUAGCGACAGAAGAAGCACCGGCUAACUCCGUGCCAGCAGCCGCGGUAAUACGGAGGGUGCGAGCGUUAAUCGGAAUUACUGGGCGUAAAGCGCAUGCAGGUGGUUUGUUAAGUCAGAUGUGAAAGCCCGGGGCUCAACCUCGGAAUUGCAUUUGAAACUGGCAGACUAGAGUACUGUAGAGGGGGGAGAA
rnacentral:rRNA from 1 species